UUAUGGCAUUUGAAGGAUCUCUAGGUAAUGUUAAUAUAGAGGCGUUUUUAUAUGCGAUAAGCUGACCUAUUUCGGUUAGAUUCCUCUAGGAAAACCAUUAAUUUAUUUUAUUUAUAACCUUGCGAAUUGAAACAUCUUAGUAGCAAGUUAAAAAAUUAAACAAGGAGUUGAAAGUAGUGGCGAGCGAAAUCAAUUUAAGCUUAAGAAUUUUUUGCAAAAAAUUUUAAAACCAUAGAAGGUAUUUAAGUCCUGUAUUUUGUAAAAAUUUCUUAUACAUUAGUAAGUUGAGACAUGUUAUCUUUACUGAAAAUAGGAGAACCAUCUUCUAAAGCUUAACUUAACAUUAACCGAUAGCGCACAAGUACUGUAAAGGAAAGAGUGAAAUCAAACUGCUUUUUAUGCUAGAGUAGUUUAAAGCUAUUAUAGCGUGCUUUUUGUAUUACGAACUGAAGAGUUAAUAAAAGUAGCCUAGCUUAAGUGGAGACAUGUAGGCGUACGUGAAAGCAAAAAUUCAAUAUUAUGUUACUUUUAUUAUACCCGAAACCAAGUGAUCUAUUUAUGAACUAGCGGAUGUAUAUUUGCAUUCGGCUGAACCCGUAUCUGUUGCAAAAGAUUGGGAUGAUUUGUGAAUAGGAGUGAAAGGCUAAUCAAACUUGGAAAUAGCUGGUUCUUUGCGAAAUCUAUUUAGGUAGAGUGUUAAAUACUAAAAAAGGGGGUAGAGCUCUGUUUAGGGAAGGGGGUGUCACUUACUAACUCUUUGCAAACUACGAAUACCUUUUUUAAGAAUAUUUAAUAAACAAACAAUAGGCGAUAAGGUCUUUUGUUGAGAGGGAAACAGCCCAGAUUUAUCGCUAAGGCCUUUAAUGUUUUUUAAGUGCAAAAAGAGUUUAUAUCCAAUGACAGUUAAUAUGUAGGCUUGGAAGCAGCCAUCAUUGAAAGAAAGCGUAGUAGCUCAUUAACUAAGGGUAUAGGUUCUGAAAAUGUAGGAGACUAAAAAAACAGCCGAAGCGGAAACAGAGCUUUUAAGCUCUGGGUAGCAAAGCUUUUUGUAUAAGUUAGCAUACGUUGUAAAAUGUAUGUGUUUAUCAAUUUGAUUAUUUCAGUAUGAGUAACGGAAAACACUCUGUGAAUGAGUGUCGUCUGAAUCCUCCAGGUUUCCUAAACAAAUGUUGUUCAGUUUAGGGUUAUUCGGUCCCUAAUUAAUUAGCUGAAAAGUUAUUAUGAUGGG
rnacentral:rRNA from 1 species